rnacentral:rRNA from 1 species
AGCGAACGCUGGCGGCGUGCUUAACACAUGCAAGUCGAACGGUGAACUCCGCUUGCGGGGGGAUCAGUGGCGAACGGGUGUGUAACACGUGAGCAAUCUGCCCUGGACUCUGGGAUAAGCGUUGGAAACGACGUCUAAUACCGGAUACGAGGCGUGGGGGCAUCCCCAACGCCUGGAAAGAACUUCGGUCCAGGAUGAGCUCGCGGCCUAUCAGCUAGUUGGUGAGGUAACGGCUCACCAAGGCGACGACGGGUAGCCGGCCUGAGAGGGUGACCGGCCACACUGGGACUGAGACACGGCCCAGACUCCUACGGGAGGCAGCAGUGGGGAAUAUUGCACAAUGGGCGCAAGCCUGAUGCAGCAACGCCGCGUGAGGGACGACGGCCUUCGGGUUGUAAACCUCUUUUAGCAGGGAAGAAGCGAAAGUGACGGUACCUGCAGAAAAAGCACCGGCUAACUACGUGCCAGCCGCCGCGGUAAGAC